rnacentral:rRNA from 1 species
AACGAACGCUGGCGGCAGGCUUAACACAUGCAAGUCGAGCGCCCCGCAAGGGGAGCGGCAGACGGGUGAGUAACGCGUGGGAAUCUACCCAUCUCUACGGAAUAACGCAUGGAAACGUGUGCUAAUACCGUAUACGUCCUCCGGGAGAAAGAUUUAUCGGAGAUGGAUGAGCCCGCGUUGGAUUAGCUAGUUGGUGGGGUAAAGGCCUACCAAGGCGACGAUCCAUAGCUGGUCUGAGAGGAUGAUCAGCCACACUGGGACUGGGACACGGCCCAGACGCCUACGGGAGGCAGCAGUGGGGAAUAUCGGACAAUGGGCGCAAGCUUGAUCCAGCCAUGCCGCGUGAGUGAUGAAGGCCCUAGGGUUGUAAAGCUCUUUCACCGGUGAAGAUAAUGACGGUAACCGGAGAAGAAGCCCCGGCUAACUUCGUGCCAGCAGCCGCGGUAACAC